rnacentral:misc_RNA from 1 species
GAUGAAGAACGCAGCGAAAUGCGAUAAGUAGUGUGAAUUGCAGAAUUCAGUGAAUCAUCGAAUCUUUGAACGCACAUUGCGCCCCUUGGUAUUCCAUGGGGCAUGCCUGUUCGAGCGUCAUUUGUACCUUCAAGCUUUGCUUGGUGUUGGGUGUUUGUCUCGCCUUUGCGUGUAGACUCGCCUUAAAAUAAUUGGCAGCCGGCGUAUUGAUUUCGGAGCGCAGUACAUCUCGCGCUUUGCACUCAUAACGACAGCGUCCAAAAGUACAUUUUACACUCUUGACCUCGGAUCAGGUAGGGAUACCCGCUGUACUUAAGCAUAUCAAUAAGCGGAGGA